rnacentral:sRNA from 1 species
UAAAUUCUACCCACCGGGCCUCGUCUAGA